rnacentral:rRNA from 1 species
GGGCCAGACUCCUACGGGAGGCAGCAGUGGGGAAUAUUGGGCAAUGGGCGCAAGCCUGACCCAGCAACGCCGCGUGAAGGAAGAAGGCUUUCGGGUUGUAAACUUCUUUUCUCAGGGACGAAGCAAGUGACGGUACCUGAUGAAUAAGCUCCGGCUAAAUACGUGCCAGCAGCCGCGGUAAUACGUAUGGAGCAAGCGUUAUCCGGAUUUACUGGGUGUAAAGGGGGCGCAGACGGCGAUGCAAGCCAGGAGUGAAAGCCCGGGGCCCAACCCCGGGACUGCUCUUGGAACUGCGUGGCUGGAGUGCAGGAGGGGCAGGCGGAAUUCCUGGUGUAGCGGUGAAAUGCGUAGAUAUCAGGAGGAACACCGGUGGCGAAGGCGGCCUGCUGGACUGCAACUGACGUCGAGGCCCGAAAGCGUGGGGAGCAAACAGGAUUAGAUACCCUAGUA